GGUAUUGUAAUGGGCCAAUUUAGCCCGAGCUCGUACAAACACAAAACCCAAAAAGAAAAAUUAUUAUAAUAAAAAUAUUAUAACAGUCCAGUUUUAAACAGUCCGAAACCCAAAAUCAUUACAAUGGCGCAUAGCCCAAACCUACUACAAGCCCAAACCUAGACCCAAAGGUUCAAGGCCCAAACGGCCCAAAACAUGUUAGAAACAAAAAAAAAACCCAAGGUUUCUGCUUCUUGCACCUUAGCCAGGCCCCAACCCGCAGUGCCGUACGGCCUCCUGGCACCACAGCCACGCCCACACCUCUAUACACCAGCACACAGCCCUUGUACGCCAACGCACACCCUGUACCUGCGAGCAAAUACAAAAAAACCACAGCAGCAAAUACGAACAAAAAAUGUAUUUUAUUUUGAUUUUUUUUGGGAUUUCGACUAUAAAGCCAAAAGAAAUGUAUUGUUCUUUUUUUUACACACAAUAUACACAUAUUGGAAUACAAAAAAAAAUCAAGAAAUCGAAAGGUGAUUUCCAGAUUCGGUUCCUCUUUCUCUGAUUGUUCUCCUCUUUCCUUUUUUUUCUUUCUUUGGUUUUACACACCGUGUAUUUUAGGCAUAAAAAAGGAAAAGAAAGGAAGGGAUUUACCUAGUAGACGAAGCCCGUCUUCUUCGUCGCAAUUGAAGUAAGGACGGGGUUUCGAAAUCGAAGCAGAUAACCCUCGAUGAUUCUCCAUGGCACCCCUGCGCAUUGCGAAUCGCGCUCAAAUUGAUGCAAAAGCAUGCAACUGAAAAAUGGGGGGAAGGGGGCUGAUUAGAUCGGCCGAUUGGGGUGGAGAAAGUUAAAAAAAUAUUAUGUUUUUCAUUUCAUCAGUUUUAGGGUUUCUCUCCCUUUAUAAACGAGAUAAAACGACACCGUUUGGAGCCAGUUCCUAUAGCCAUAAAACGGUGUCGCAUGAGUGACACGGACCCGGUGACCCAACCCUGACGCGUCCAGAUCCACACGUCUUGGGCCUGUGAGGGUUAAUUGUGUGAUAAGCCCUUCCCCUUUUGCGAUGCGUUCCAAUCAGCUUAUAUUUGUAUUUCUUUUGCUUUUUUUUAAUUUUCCCUGUAAUUUGCACAUGUUUGCACUUUGGUCUGUGUCUCAGGCUACGUUUUGGGGUCUAUAUUAUUUCCAAAUUUGGUCCCUGCGCAUUCGCGCAU
rnacentral:lncRNA from 1 species